GGGCGAGUGAAUUCGAGGGAAGAAAGACGCGUUUACGACGCUCUACGAGCUCUGUUCUACGAAACAGAACUAAGAGAGGGCUGUUAAUGCAGGAGCCGUGAAACCGCUGGUGGACUUGAUUCCAGAGCAGGGGAGCGGUUUGACGGAGAAGGCGAUGGUGGUUCUGAGCAGCUUAGCUGCAAUUCCAGAGGACAGAACUGACAUAGUCGAAGAAGGAGGGAUUGCAGCUUUGGUUGAAGCGAUCGAAGACGGUCAGUGAAAGGGGAAGAGUUCGCGGUACUGACGCUUCUGCAACUAUGCGCGGACAGUGUACGGAACAGAGGAUUGUUGGUGAGAGGUGGGAUCCCCCCGCUUGUUGGGCUCUCUCAGACGGGCACGGCUCGAGCGAAGCAGAAGAGGAAAAUGCUCUAAUGGCCUGGCGUGCUUUGCCUAUCUCUACGGCGGGAUAUUGAUGGAUGCAGAAAGCGUCUGAUUGUGGUUGUAGUAGAGAUGAGACGAACAUGAAGUAUCUUGCAGCGGAGCAGCGGAACAGACGGCGCUCGUCGCCCUCCUGUUGGCUGUCGGUGGAAGGUCGCUCUUGUGGAACAUGACCGAGCAAAGUCCUUGUCGGUGGCAAGGCAUUACUUGCGAGAAACCGAGUCACCGUCUUGCGUCUUCCUGGCAACGGACUCAUCGCCCAAAUCCCUGUAGGAGUCUUCGGAAAUCUGAUGCAACUCCACACGCUUAUCCUCCGGCUUAAUGCUCUCACCGGUCCAUUGUCGUCCGAUCUAGCCGCAUGUACGGAUCUCCACAAAUUUUCUGGCAAGAUUCCGUCGUCCUUGUUCGAACUCAAGAAACUUGUCGCGUGAACAGUAUUAUAAAAAGGGUAGUUUAGACAUUUAAAAAUUUUUAAACACUUGGAUGAAAAUUUUUUCAAGUUAACUAAUAGAACAUUAACGGAAGGGGGUCUUUGUGUAACGGCUAAAGUUCAGAGGGUUCUUUGUCGAUAAAAAGAAUAUAGGAGAGACUUUGGGGGGUUUUUAUAAUUUACCCUUUGUAUUAUUUCUCAUUGUACAUAUUUGUAUUUAUAAUCUUUCCAAAUUGAGCCUUUAUUAAAAAAAACUGUCCAAAAAGAUGGUUUAAAAACAUUGUAAUCCUUUUUUUUUUUUAUUUCUCCUGCAUAAUAUGGUUGCAGUGUCCUGUUUAUAGCAUGUACAUAGCAUUUAUGCACAAUA